rnacentral:rRNA from 1 species
ACAUGCAAGUCGAGCGGUAAGGCCUUUCGGGGUACACGAGCGGCGAACGGGUGAGUAACACGUGGGUGAUCUGCCCUGCACUUCGGGAUAAGCCUGGGAAACUGGGUCUAAUACCGGAUAUGACCUCCUGUUGCAUGACUUGGGGUGGAAAGAUUUAUCGGUGCAGGAUGGGCCCGCGGCCUAUCAGCUUGUUGGUGGGGUAAUGGCCUACCAAGGCGACGACGGGUAGCCGACCUGAGAGGGUGACCGGCCACACUGGGACUGAGACACGGCCCAGACUCCUACGGGAGGCAGCAGUGGGGAAUAUUGCACAAUGGGCGAAAGCCUGAUGCAGCGACGCCGCGUGAGGGAUGACGGCCUUCGGGUUGUAAACCUCUUUCAGCAGGGACGAAGCGCAAGUGACGGUACCUGCAGAAGAAGCACCGGCUAACUACGUGCCAGCAGCCGCGGUAAUACGUAGGGUGCAAGCGUUGUCCGGAAUUACUGGGCGUAAAGAGUUCGUAGGCGGUUUGUCGCGUCGUUUGUGAAAACCAGCAGCUCAACUGCUGGCUUGCAGGCGAUACGGGCAGACUUGAGUACUGCAGGGGAGACUGGAAUUCCUGGUGUAGCGGUGAAAUGCGCAGAUAUCAGGAGGAACNCNGNUGGCGAAGGCGGGUCUCUGGGCAGUAACUGACGCUGAGGAACGAAAGCGUGGGUAGCGAACAGGAUUAGAUACCCUGGUAGUCCACGNCGUAAACG